rnacentral:misc_RNA from 1 species
AAAGAAAAGGCCGGUCCGAUUCGAUCGGACCGAUCCGGUCCGGUUUGAUUCGGCUGGUUCGAUUCAGGAUAUAAAUUUUUGAAUUUUUACUCUGCCUCGGGACCGAAAAAGAGGUCCAAAAAUUUCGAAAAAAAUUUAGAAAACUCAGAAAAAUUCGUAGACUCCAAAUAUAUUUUUAAUUUUGUCACGUGGUCUUUAAAUAAAUUUUU